rnacentral:lncRNA from 1 species
UGCCAGAUCUCAUUAGAGAAGAGGUCUUGGAUGGAAGUUGGAAUAAAGCAAAGUUCUGUCUGCACACAAAGCUCUUUUGCAGCAAUGCCCACCUCCCAUUUGUACGUGUGAGAUUUUGUUUGUUUCUGGCAGGAGAUAAUUUUGUCCAAAGCAGCUGCACGCUAAAUCAAAUAUUCAUGCCUUUACCCCCUCCCUGGGCAAAAGGCCGCUGAGAAAGGGUGGUUUCCUGGCUUUAAAACAGAUUGCCACAAACAGACGAAGGCUCUUCCCCAGCCGCCACCUCAGAAAACUUCCAAUCCAGUUUAUGAUGCUUUCAUUGGACUUGACGCCCUACCUCACCAUCUGCAUGUUUGCACCUUAGCUUCCAAAAGGUUAUUGUUAUAAGAAAACAAAUUAACCCGAGAACCUGAAAAAUGCCGCAAAGUACAGGAUAAAAGUCGGUCAAUGAAACCAAAGCGUGAAGCAGCACAAAAGUGGGUGGAUUAAAAAGCCAGAUGAAAAUCCACACGACGGAGUGAGCGCCCGUCGCUUGUCCCAGCUCCCGCCAACCUAGCGGUUUGAAAGCAUGCAAAUGCGAGUAGGUUAAUAGGGACCACCUCGGUGGGAAGGUAACAGCGUUCCGUGUCGAAGUCGCACUGGCCAUGUGACCACGGAAGAUUGUCUUCGGACAAAUGCUGGCUCUAUGGCUUGGAAACGGGGAUGAGCACUGCCCCCUAGAGUCAGAAUACGACUGGACAAAAAAAUUGUCAAGGGGAACCUUUACCUUUACCUUUACCUUUUUAUGAAAAUAAAAAGGCUGCUGAGGGUUGAAGUUAAAGCAAGGUCAUCAUCAUCAUCGUCAUUAUAGCAAGCUUUCUUCUGGGCAGCAUUUCAUAUGUAUGGUGCUACGACUGAGUUGCUCCUUUCCCCCUCGGCCAUCUCGAAGGCUGCAGAACACGGACCAGCAUAUCUGGAGACAUGCAGUCAUUUUAAUCCGGAUACAGUAAUAGCUUCAUACAGUUUUGGACAAAGAACUCAAUUUAUUGACAGAAGAUAAUAAGAGCAGUUCUCCCCAGGCAUUCGUUUCAGGUAUGAUUCAAUGCAAGGAGAGGUUGUCUACCUCCAUUGCAUCCAGAGUUCAUCGUUGUAAUGAGCUUGCUUUAUAUAUA